AUGUCCGGAGCCUUUGAUGUUCUGCAAGUGAAAGAGGAGGAUGUCCUUAAGUUCCUUGCAGCAGGAACCCACUUAGGUGGCACCAAUCUUGACUUCUAAAUGGAAAAGUAAAUUUAUAAAAGGAAAAGGAAAAGUGAUGGCAUCUACAUCAUAAAUCUGAAAAGGACCUGGGAGAAGCUUCUGCUGGCAGCUCGUGCCAUUGUUGCCAUUGAAAAUCCCACUGAUGUCAGUUUUAUAUCCUCUAGGAAUACUGGCCAGAAGGCCAUGCUUAAGUUUGCUGCUGCCACUGGAGCCACUCCAAAUGCUGGCUGCCUCAAUCCUGGAACCUUCACUAACCAUAUCCAGGCAAUGUUCCAGGAGUCACGGCUUCUUGUGGUUACUGACCCCAGGGCUGAUCACCAGCAUCUCACAGAGGCAUCUUAUGUUAACCUACCUACCAUUGCUUUGUGUAACACAGAUUCUCCUCUGCACUAUGUGGACAUUGCCAUUCCAUGCAACAGCAAGGGAACUCACUCAGUUUGAUGUGGUGGAUGCCGGCCUGGCAAGUUCUGCACAUGUGUGGCACCAUUUCCCAUGAACACCUGUGGGAGGUCAUGCCUGCUCUCUACUCUACCGAGAUCCUGAAGAGAUUGAAAAAGAAGAGCAGGCUGCUGCUGAAAAGGCUGUGACCAAGGAGGAAUUUCAGGGUGAAUGGACUGCUCCAGCUCCUGAGUUCACUACUACUCAGCCUGAGGUUGCAGACUGGUCUGAAUGUGUGCAGAUGCCCUCUGUGCCUAUUCAGCAGUUCCCUACUAAAGAUGGGAGCAUUUAGCCUGCCUCGGAAGACUGGUCUGCAACUCCCACUGCUCAGGCCAUUAAAUGGGUAGGAGCAACCUCUGAAUGGUAUUAAGCUGUUCUUGCAUGCGUUCUUAAGCAACAUGGAAAUAAGGUUGAUGGAAAAUAAAUGUCCAUUUCUAAAAAAA